UACGUAUGGAGCAAGCGUUAUCCGGAUUUACUGGGUGUAAAGGGAGCGUAGGCGGUGCUAUAAGUCUGAUGUGAAAGCCCGGGGCUCAACCGCGGGACUGCAUUGGAAACUGUAGGACUGGAGUGUCGGAGGGGUAAGUGGAAUUCCUAGUGUAGCGGUGAAAUGCGUAGAUAUUAGGAGGAACACCGGUGGCGAAGGCGGUCUGCUGGACAGCAACUGACGGUGAGGCGCGAAAGCGUGGGGAGCAAACAGG
rnacentral:rRNA from 1 species